rnacentral:rRNA from 1 species
AGUGAACGCUGGCGGUAGGCCUAACACAUGCAAGUCGAACGGCAGCACAGUAAGAGCUUGCUCUUACGGGUGGCGAGUGGCGGACGGGUGAGGAAUACAUCGGAAUCUACUUUUUCGUGGGGGAUAACGUAGGGAAACUUACGCUAAUACAGCAUACGACCUACGGGUGAAAUCAGGGGAUCUUCGGACCUUGCGCGAUUGAAUGAGCCGAUGUCGGAUUAGCUAGUUGGCGGGGUAAAGGCCCACCAAGGCGACGAUCCGUAGCUGGUCUGAGAGGAUGAUCAGCCACACUGGAACUGAGACACGGUCCAGACUCCUACGGGAGGCGGCAGUGGGGAAUAUUGGACAAUGGGCGCAAGCCUGAUCCAGCCAUACCGCGUGGGUGAAGAAGGCCUUCGGGUUGUAAAGCCCUUUUGUUGGGAAAGAAAAGCAGCAGGUUAAUACCCCGCUGUUCUGACGGUACCCAAAGAAUAAGCACCGGCUAACUUCGUG